UGUCUCGUAUGUUCGAUUUAAGGCUUGAAGAUUCAUCGAGUUACGGUAGGCGACUUCAGUUUAGGGAUUGUGGAUUCAUCGAGUUAUGUUUGGUGACUUCGGUUUAGGGCUUGUGGAUUCAUCGAGUUACGAUAGGCGACUUCGAUUUAGGGCUUGAGGAUUCAUCACAGAUUCAUUGGUUGAGAUGAGUUUUCACAUACCCAAUUCCAACAUUCAGUUUUUUGGGGAUGAAAACAUGUCUUCUGCAGAUGUAAGUUUGUGCAUUUCUUAAUUGCAACAUUUGCUGCUAUGCAUCAUUUUUUCUAAUAUGUUGACUGUGUUUUAUUAGGUAUUCCAAGAGAAUAUAACGUCAAUAGUAGUUUUUGAGAUUGGAGGUGAUGAAGCUGUUGUCACAUUUGAGACAGUCACAAUUCUUACUCCAUGCUGAACACAUAAUCUACAAUGAGUAAAGGGAUACAACACCGUGAUAGCUCAUGGAGAAGCUUUAAGAACUGAGCAUCUUAAGGACCAUGAAUAAUAUCUAAUGUGUUCAUAUUGGUUGAACUUGGAAUGAACUUGGCAAUUUCUAAUUUCAACUUCAACAAAAGUUGAUAAAGAGACGGGGCAAGGUGUUAGCGCCUCUGUUUUUCGAGCCAAGUGUAUCACCAACAAUGAGAUUGUGGCUAUCAAGGUUCUGGAUUUUGAACGAGGAAACUGCGAUUUGGUAAAUACGGAUUCUGUUUCUCCAAUGCUAUUAUAUUCUCUCACGAUACAUUAUGCAUAUGCAAUACUUUCAUGGUGCCAGAUGAAUAUGCAAUUUCCAGAUACAAUACUUUCAUGUUGCGAGAUCAACAUGCAAUUUCUUUUUUGUAAUUUCUUCCGAUAUUGUUUGUUCAAUUGAGUUCAGAACAAUGUGUAAUUUAGAUUCAUAUCUGGAUAAUAAGUUUUACUCAAAUUUGGU